UGGGGAAUUUUGGACAAUGGGGGCAACCCUGAUCCAGCCAUGCCGCGUGAGUGAAGAAGGCCUUCGGGUUGUAAAGCUCUUUCGGCGGGGACGAAACGGUCCGUGACAACACCACGGACUAAUGACGGUACUCGCAGAAGAAGCACCGGCUAACUACGUGCCAGCAGCCGCGGUAAUACGUAGGGACCAAGCGUUGUUCGGAUUUACUGGGCGUAAAGGGCGCGUAGGCGGCAUGACAAGUCACUUGUGAAAUCUCUGGGCUUAACCCAGAACGGCCAAGUGAUACUGUCGCGCUAGAGUGCAGAAGGGGCAAUCGGAAUUCUUGGUGUAGCGGUGAAAUGCGUAGAUAUCAAGAGGAACACCUGAGGUGAAGACGGGUUGCUGGGCUGACACUGACGCUGAGGCGCGAAGGCCAGGGGAGCAAACGGGAUUAGAUACCCUAGUAGUCCCUGAGCGGGCUGGCAAGGCGCAU
rnacentral:rRNA from 1 species